rnacentral:rRNA from 1 species
GACAGAGGCCUCAAGCGUUAGGCGAAAUCACUGGGCUUAAAGCGUGUGUAGGCGGAUCGUUAAGUGUCUUGUGAAAUCCCACGGCUCACCCGUGGAACUGCUGGGCAUACUGGGCGUCUUGGGCCAACUAGGGGCAGCCGGAACAAGCGGUGGAGCGGUGAAAUGCGUAGAUAUCGCUUGGAACGCCGAAGGUGAAAACAGGCUGCUGGGGUUGCGCCGACGCUGAGACACGAAAGCCAGGGGAGCAAACGGG